rnacentral:guide_RNA from 1 species
AAAACGGCAUAUAUAUACACGUCAGAUUAUGUUAGUGAU